UUUUUCUUCCUUUUCUUUCGUUAGUGUGUGCCUGUAUGUGCUAAAGAGGGAAGGAUGAUGUUUUUCUUUCUCUUGGUUUUUUGUUUCAUGAUGUCAAAUGGGUUUGCAACGUGGCACGAGUUGAUAGGGGUACUUGGAAGUGGUCAUGCAAGCAUGCUACAAAUGGAGCGAUGCCCCCUUUUUAAUUUUCCAGCAUUGUUUCUCUUUUCCUUUUCUUUUUAUUACCUUUCUU
rnacentral:lncRNA from 1 species